rnacentral:rRNA from 1 species
GUGCUUAACACAUGCAAGUCGAACGAUGAACCCACUUCGGUGGGGGAUUAGUGGCGAACGGGUGAGUAACACGUGGGCAAUCUGCCCUGCACUCUGGGACAAGCCCUGGAAACGGGGUCUAAUACCGGAUACGACCACUUCAGGCAUCUGAUGGUGGUGGAAAGCUCCGGCGGUGCAGGAUGAGCCCGCGGCCUAUCAGCUAGUUGGUGAGGUAACGGCUCACCAAGGCGACGACGGGUAGCCGGCCUGAGAGGGCGACCGGCCACACUGGGACUGAGACACGGCCCAGACUCCUACGGGAGGCAGCAGUGGGGAAUAUUGCACAAUGGGCGAAAGCCUGAUGCAGCGACGCCGCGUGAGGGAUGACGGCCUUCGGGUUGUAAACCUCUUUCAGCAGGGAAGAAGCGAAAGUGACGGUACCUGCAGAAGAAGCGCCGGCUAACUACGUGCCAGCAGCCGCGGUAAUACGUAGGGCGCAAGCGUUGUCCGGAAUUAUUGGGCGUAAAGAGCUCGUAGGCGGCCUGUCACGUCGGAUGUGAAAGCCCGGGGCUUAACCCCGGGUCUGCAUUCGAUACGGGCAGGCUAGAGUUCGGUAGGGGAGAUCGGAAUUCCUGGUGUAGCGGUGAAAUGCGCAGAUAUCAGGAGGAACACCGGUGGCGAAGGCGGAUCUCUGGGCCGAUACUGACGCUGAGGAGCGAAAGCGUGGGGAGCGAACAGGAUUAGAUACCC